rnacentral:rRNA from 1 species
UACGUAGGGCGCAAGCGUUGUCCGGAAUUAUUGGGCGUAAAGAGCUCGUAGGUGGCUUGUCACGUCGGGUGUGAAAGCUUGGGGCUUAACUCCAGGUCUGCAUUCGAUACGGGCUGGCUAGGGGUAGGUAGGGGAGAACGGAAUUCCUGGUGUAGCGGUGAAAUGCGCAGAUAUCAGGAGGAACACCGGUGGCGAAGGCGGGUCUCUGGGCAACAACUGACGCUGAGGAGCGAAAGCGUGGGGAGCGAACAGG